rnacentral:snoRNA from 1 species
GGGGACAUGGGAGAGGGAGAGGUGGCAGAAAAAGGGUGGUGUUAUUUCUGAUGUGCCAGAUGAAUCAUUGGAGGUAAAUUAGCAGUGUGGCUACUCUAGCCAUUGCUGUCAGUCACCUCCACACAUUG